ACAGCUGUGUGCAUAUGUUACCUCUUUUACAAAACUUUCAAGGUUCUGGUUGUGAACUGACUCGUUAUUUUCUCCUAUAAACUCCAAUCGGCCUUUUUGUGCUGAUCACGUAUACAUGUAAAAACAUGGGAAGGACAUUUGGCAGCAGGAAGAAACAUUACGCGAAGUCAUGACGCUGCUCAGUACAAAAACGGGAUUCCUGCAUUGGUAGUUCGAUUGGAUUUCCUAUGUUGGCAAGUGCAGUACGGCCGGAGCUGAAGAGACAAAUUGCUGUCACCAAUGACAGCACCGUGUACAAGCGUGGGUACGCAAAUACUCAGGCAAUGUGUCAUCGUACAACUCGGAAGCAUUCUUUACAAGGAACUGGCGAGAAGUCUAAAACAAAGCGAAGUCUUUCUCCUUCUGGAAGCCCCGGAAGAAAAAGCAUGAGGCUUUAAAAAAUUUUCUAUGCAGUGUAUCGGAAGACUUCACAAUAAAGGUACUGGACGUAGCCCGAGUUAACGCGUAAAGUUCAAGACGUUCAAGUUAUAUCCGACACAAAGUCCCUUCACUG